rnacentral:rRNA from 1 species
AUUGAACGCUGGCGGCAGGCCUAACACAUGCAAGUCGAGCGAGCGGCGGACGGGUGAGUAAUGUCUGGGAAACUGCCUGAUGGAGGGGGAUAACUACUGGAAACGGUAGCUAAUACCGCAUCCCAUCAGCUGUCCCCCGGUGGGAUUAGCUAGUAGGUGGGGUAACGGCUCACCUAGGCGACGAUCCCUAGCUGGUCUGAGAGGAUGACCAGCGACACUGGAACUGAGAAACGGUCAAGACUCCUACGGGAGGCAGCAGUGGGGAAUAUUGCACAAUGGGCGCAAGCCUGAUGCAGCCAUGCCGCGUGUGUGAAGAAGGCCUUAGGGUUGUAAAGCACUUUCAGCGGGGAGGCGUUACCCUCAGAAGAAGCACCGGCUAACUCCGUGCUAGCAGCCGCGGUAAUAC